CCUACGGGGGGCUGCAGUGGGGAAUAUUGCACAAUGGGGGAAACCCUGAUGCAGCGACGCCGCGUGAGUGAAGAAGUAAUUCGUUAUGUAAAGCUCUAUCAGCAGGGAAGAAAAUGACGGUACCUGAGUAAGAAGCCCCGGCUAACUACGUGCCAGCAGCCGCGGUAAUACGUAGGGGGCAAGCGUUAUCCGGAUUUACUGGGUGGAAAGGGAGCGUAGACGGCAGUGCAAGUCUGGAGUGAAAGGCGGGGGCUCAACCCCCGGACUGCUCUGGAAACUGUACGGCUGGAGUGCAGGAGAGGGAAGUGGAAUUCCUAGUGUAGCGGUGAAAUGCGUAGAUAUUAGGAGGAACACCAGUGGCGAAGGCGGCUUACUGGACUGUAACUGACGUUGAGGCUCGAAAGCGUGGGGAGCAAACAGGAUUAGAUACCCCAGUAGUC
rnacentral:rRNA from 1 species